rnacentral:lncRNA from 1 species
AAAACGAAUGUAUCAUUUGACAACAUAAAAUCGGAGAAUAAAGAGUUGAGAAAUAAAUUGUAUACAAUAUUUACUAUAGAGAGUAUAAAAACUAUGUCAUGUGCAUUAAAACAAAUAACUCAUUGUUAAGACAGAAGAUCAAAUGUUUAUAAACUAAUUUUAUCAAAAAAUGAUCACUAACCCUUUCAUCAACCAAUAUACAAUGUAGGCCUGUAUAUUUAUCGUCCAUGCCUAGAUACUUCGGUCUCCAUAUUCUACAAACACACACUUUAAUUUUGACAACUUUUUUAUAUGCCACCAAUUGAUCAAGCGGAGUUGGACCUUCGUCUUCCAUUUAAUCUAUACAAACGAAAUACAAAAUUUGUAAAUUUAUAAAUGGCGCGUAGAAAAAGGUUAAAAUACCAAUCAACCAUUUUAUCAAUACUAUAAAUAGAUAGAGAAACGAUAAUUGAAAUCUAAUUUUGACUGAGAACAGUUAUGCAAUAAUAAUAGUAAAAUGAAAACACACAGUUACUAGAUCAGUUGUCCGUCUUUUGAUUAAUAGAAUUAGAGUAAAAGUUUAUUGUCUUUGGAUCCUACCAAAUUUCAUUAAGCCUUGACCUCAUUUUCAUGCAAGAAAUAAUCAACAUUAAAUAGGCCUGUCUAGAACACUAUAAUCUAGUUAACAAAACGAAAAAUAUGGGUUCAAACGUCACAUUACGAUUAAAACACCAUGAGAAAGAAAAACUUGAAAAUCAUUGUAUCUAAAUACUUGCCAAAAACUUAUAAAGUUUCCAUCAUAAUUGGAAUAUCUGGAGACAAAGGAAUUUAUUAGUGAUGUGCUAACGCAAACUACCACUGUGUGCAAAAAAGCAAAAGAAAAUUGUACACAUCUAAUUUGAUGAGAGCAUGUAAUAAUAUUUGAUAUUAAACAACUACACCAACAUAUUGAUAUGAUUAAGAACCGGAGAGAUAAGGGAAAGACUUCAACACCCUUUAAUUAUUAAAUGGAAUUCAUUCAUGUCAGUAAAACCAAGAAAAAAGUAUUUUCACACUUUAUAAACAAAUUGGCAAAGAUACUAAAUCUUAUCAGCUUUGAUCCAAGCAAAAUAACAAACAAAUUAUAAUUAAAAAUUGAUGACUCAUAAGCUAAACUAAUCCAUGACUGCAUCUAAGGAAACAAUGAUCAUCAGUUGUCCUUAGUUUUAUUUAGACACUUUAAUUUACACCAUACCAAAUUUAACUACCACAAUAAUAUAGUCAGAGAGCCAACUAAAAAACCUACAUGCCAUAUAACAAUAGCAAGCUAAACAGUUUGGAAAAAACAAAGUUCAAUGACACUAGCAAAUGUAAAUAUUGAUAGCCUAGUGAAAUCUAAACCAUAAUUGAUUACAUGACAAACUAAACUACGUGUUUAUACAAAGAAGCAAAAGACAAUUAGCCAUCCCCAUUAACCUACAUUACACUCAAUUAAACCACAACAACAAUAUAGCUACACACUCAAUGAUAGAUUGGAUCAAACAUAACUGGACGCAAACAAACCAAACACAAUUACUUGCCUCUGGUUUUAUCCGAAGACUUUAAAUUAUGCUUCACACGACUUAUCCACCACAACAACACAACCACAAAAUAAACAUAAAAAUGAAUCCAGUAACAAUAAUAGGAAAUCUACAAAUUUUCUAAAAAGGAAAGAUAAAAACAAACAACCAAAUUCGGAAAUAAAAAAAAAAAAGCAAACAAAGAAUAAUCACCAAUUUAUCAGUUGUAGAAUAAAUUAAAGCCUCACUCACAAACCACAAUUUUGACGUUAAAAGCAAGCAAAUUGAGGUAUGUUUACAGCAUAUUGAUUCUUAAUCAUAAUAGUUAUCAUUGAUGUAAUUAAUCUUUUACACACACAAAGAAAAAAAAAAGCAAGUGCUUCCCAAUCUAAAGAGUCAAUGACAAUAAAGCAGCAUAUUAGCAAAUAGUUAAUUAUGACUUCUUUUGAGCCCAAAGAAACCUUAUUAGUGAUGGCGAAUCAAUAUGAAAGUAGCUCUAGAUUAGUCAUGGUGAUUUUGAAAUGGAUACUAAAGAGCCAUUCAUUGAAUGAAGUAACUAAUAAAUAUGUUAAAUUGCAGCAGGAGAAGCCUAAUAUACACUCUUAGUUUUUUUACUAUAGCAUGAGAAGGCUAAUAUACAUAUAUAUUAGGCCUCUCUUGCUAUGUUAUAUUAGGUUUCUCACACUUUAAUUUACACUUUAAUUCACACUAUAUAAGCCUAAAAUACACUAUACUACACACUUUUAAUAAUAUAGAGUCAAUAUUAACACAUCACACUAUAUUAUUCUCUGACUAUAUAAAAUUAUUUAAAUCAUAAUAUAGCGUGACUAUAUUAAUAUACACUCUUAAGCCAAAUAAUAUAGUGUGAUCUGUUAAAUUCUCUGACUAUAUUCUUUGACAACAAUAAUUCAAACACAUUAAGCCAAAUAAAAAGUGUGAUAUGUUAAAUUGUAGCCAUUCUUUCACAAUAAUAUAGUCAGAGAUCCAUCCAAAGAAGCAAAGAAUAAUCAACCAUCACCCUUUUUUAUUUAAACACAUGAAGCCACAUGACACCAAAUCCAAUCGUCAAAAUAACACAUGCAUUCACAUAUCCAACACCAAAAUCUAUAUACCACAUAAGAACACCAAAUCAACUAAUUUGAAAAAAUUGAAAGAUCAAAUUCACUGAUGACAAAAUUCAAACACAUUAAGCCAAAUAAAAAGUGUGAUCUCUUAAAUUGUAGCGAUUGUUUGACAAUAAUAUAGUAGAGACCCAUCCAAAGAAACAAAGGAUAAUGAACCAUCACUUUUCUUAUUUAAACCAAGUUUCUCAAAAACGCUAGGCGCUAGUCAGACGGCUAGGUGGGGUCUAGGCGGAUUUAGGUAAAUUUCUUGUAUAUCUUGUAAAUAAGUGCAUAUUAACACUUACAAAAAAGAUGAAGACACGAUGACCAACACAUACAAGGCCACACCUAUGUCAAUCCUUUACAACAACUACAAUAUAAGCUAGUGUAGUAGCAUCAUUUGACAUUUGAAAAACCCUAGCAGCUACAUCCAAUCUCAUUUCAGCUUUUGAUGACCUCGAGCCCAGAGCCCAAACCCUUUCUAAUCCAGAUCAUUGCUCCUUGGGUAGCACAAAGGCUUAGGAUGUGCACACGUGUCGUGCAUCAAGAAAAUGAGCUCCCUAGGAUUCCAAUUGAAAGGCUACCCCUUCCCUCAUUUUUGAGUAAAUUGAGAAACCCUAAGUUUCUCUCUCAUUUCUCUUAAAAGAUGAGAGAUGUCUCCCAAGAAAAUCAGAAGCCUCUCUCUCUCUAGAAACCGAAAUAAGUCUCUCAUUUAUCUCCAUGCUCUCCCACAUCAACACAAACCUCAGACCUGAGCCCAGCUCACCUAUUUCAGCCAUCACGGUUUGCCAACGCACAAUGGUAAAACACAUUGAUCGCUUCUCUUCUCUGCUCAUUAAUUUCUUGUUUCCAACAUACUACAAGUUCACAACUUAGACUUAGAUAUGAUUUUUUUUUUUUUUAUAAUUUCAAAAAAAAAAAAAAGCCGCCUAGACACCUAGCACCGCCUAGGGUCGUCUAGAGCCUAGCCGAUUUUUUCAAUCGAUUUGCAGCGCCUAGGCGCUGCCUAGGUCGUUUUUUAGAACACUGAUUUAAACACAUUAAGCCACAUCACACUAAAUCCAACCAUCACAAUGAGACAGUCACAUAUCCAACACCAAAAUUUGUAUACCACAUAAGAACACCAAAUCAACUAAUUUCCAAAAAUUGAAAAAUCAAGAGCAAUAACAAAUGGAAACAUUCGCACUUCAAUGAAAUGAAAAUUGCUAGUUUAACACAAAAACCAAACCGAUCUACGCAUAAACAAUGCAAAAACAAAUUGAAAGAAGAAAGCACACUAUCACCAUAACACAGUUUCUAGACAGAAGCAAAACCAACCAGCAAAAAAAAAAAAAACAUAAAUCCAACUUAACACUGAAACGCAUGAUACAACACCCAAAUAACUCCAUAAAAAGAACAGAGUCUAAAAACCCAAUACCUGACAAAGAAAGCAAGAACUGGUUGAAUACAAAAGCACAAAAAAAAAAGCAAAUUAAAAUUGGGUGCUCUAGAAUGAAAGAACAUCACACAUGGCAGAAUGACAUCACAGUUGCAGGAAAAAACAGAAGCUGAAAAGCAAAACCAAAUCAAAGACAAAAAGCACAAUAAAAAUGAGAACAAAACUUACAAACCCAGAUGUGCAAGCAGCAAGACAGAAACAGGAAACAA